rnacentral:rRNA from 1 species
GACGUAGGAGGCAAGCGUUAUCCGGAUUUAUUGGGCGUAAAGGGCAAGUAGGCGGUUCUCAAAGUUGGGCGUGUCAUCUCCCGGCUCAACCGGGAGGGUGCGUUCAAAACUAGAGGACUAGAGGGCAGGAGAGGGAAGUGGAAUUCCCAGUGUAGCGGUGGAAUGCUCAGAUAUUGGGAAGAACACCAGUGGCGAAGGCGGCUUCCUGGCCUGCACCUGACGCUGAGAGGCGAAAGCUAGGGUAGCAAACGGGAUUAGAUACCCGCGUAGUCCCUGAG